UGAAACAUCUCAGUACCUGGAGGAAAAGACAUCAACAGAGAUUCCGCGAGUAGUGGCGAGCGAAAGCGGAGCAGGCCAGUGGUUGUUGGAAGAGAAGGCGAGGGAUCUGGAAAGGUCCGCCGUAGAGGGUGAGAGCCCCGUAGCCGUAGCGCUUCUGAUGAUCCUUGAGUAGGGCGGGGCACGUGAAACCCUGUCUGAACAUGGGGGGACCACCCUCCAAGCCUAAAUACUCCCUGGCGACCGAUAGUGCACAAGUACCGUGAGGGAAAGGUGAAAAGCACCCCGACGAGGGGAGUGAAAGAGACCUGAAACCGAACGCCUACAAGCAGUCGGAGCCCUGACCACGCGAGUGGUGGGUGACGGCGUACCUUUUGUAUAAUGGGUCCGCGAGUUCGUGUUCGUGGCGAGCUUAAGCCGUGAGGCGGAGGCGCAGCGAAAGCGAGUCCUAAAUGGGCGCAUAG
rnacentral:rRNA from 1 species